AUGUCUGUAGCUCAGUUGGUUAGAGCACUGCACCGGAAUCACAGGGCCGCAGGUUCGAUUCCUGCCAGGUAUC
rnacentral:tRNA from 1 species